GAAGUUUCUGGCGAUCAGCAGAAGCUGCGGGCGGUGAUGGCUGGCACAUUUCUUCUUCUGAGGGAAAAGCAGUGUUAAUGUAAAGAUGCAGUUCAUGCUUCUUUUCAGCAGACAGGGCAAGCUUCGACUCCAGAAGUGGUACGUGCCGCUGUCUGAUAAGGAGAAGAAGAAGAUCACCAGAGAGUUGGUGCAGACCAUCCUGGCCCGCAAACCCAAAAUGUGUAGCUUCCUGGAGUGGAGAGAUCUGAAGAUCGUGUACAAGAGAUACGCCAGCUUGUACUUCUGCUGCGCCAUCGAGGACCAGGACAACGAGCUGAUCACGCUGGAGAUCAUCCACAGAUACGUGGAGCUGCUGGACAAAUACUUCGGCAGCGUUUGUGAGCUGGACAUCAUCUUCAACUUUGAGAAGGCCUACUUCAUCCUGGAUGAGUUCCUGUUGGGUGGCGAGGCUCAAGAGACAUCCAAGAAGAACGUGCUGAAAGCCAUCGAGCAGGCUGACCUGCUGCAGGAGAACAUAGACUCUCAGAUGCGCAUGUUUGCAGCCCCGUCAUGAGUACUUUACCGUACCCGUGUACUGAACGGCUGCCAUGGCUGCUUCUGCUGCUGCUGCUGCUGCUGCUGUCCUCCAUGCAUGCUCCAUGUCCUUGUCCUUAGCACUGUGGACGCUAUCCUGCUCAACUGGCGCGACACAACAAUGCUUACAAUGUCCCUACAGUACAACUUCUUGGACUCAUCAAACCUCCAUUGGCUGUUUCUGUAACCCUCUAACGAGGGAGUCAUUGCCCAGCAAUGCAACAUUUCUCAUAAUCAUUCAUGUAAAUCAGGUGUCCACGCAUUUUGCAGCAAGAUAGAAGAAAAAUAGAUGUGCUAAGAAGCUAUAUAUAUUUCAAGAUAAAAAAAACGCAUCUCAGCUUUGUCAUAGAGUUGAAAAAGUGUAUUCUUUCCCGCCAUUUUUGCUAUUGUUGUUUUUGUUUAGAUUUCCCAAAUAUUUCACCUUUCUUCUAGUCAAUCUUCUUCUUUUAAUUAUGACUUUAUUCCCAUAAUAUUUUGACUUUAUUCCCAUAAUAUUUUUACUUUAUUCCAAAAAUUUUUGUCCUUUGUUUUGUUUGUUUCUCAUAAUAUUACUGCUUGAAAAAAUAACUUUUUUUUUCUUUAAUAAUUCAAGUCUGUGCUACUAAGUGACAUUAUUUUUCUUCAUAUUAAGAGUUUAUUUUUGCAAAACUGUGAAUUUUUUUCUCGUUAGAAUAAGACGACUUUCAGCCAAGGGCCGCAAAUGGGCCUCCGGGCUGCACUUUGGGCAUCAAACGCGCUAGACAAAGUAGCUUUGGCAUCCAAACUUUUUCCAUCAUACCUUUAAAAAAAAAAAAAAAUUAAAACGCAUAAGAACCAAACCAGUGUAGGUCAAGAUGCUUUCUGCUAAUCCAAGGCUGUCCAAAAUGCGUCCUAGGGUUUAUUUUCUAACCGGAGCUCAUUUUUUAUUCAAUGCAAUUAAAUUUUCUUUAAAUUGUGCCAAAUCACAAUCUUGAAGUACUUUAUACAUGGAGCAGGUAUACUGUAGAACCAGACUCCUCAUACAUUCAGGAGAAACCAAGAGAUAGGGGUGUGUGCCCAAUUCAAGACCUUGUCUACAUGGGAGCGCUCCUGAGGUUUGGAAAACUUUUUUUUUUUUUGACCGGUUGUAGAAAAAAUCUCGUACACAAAGGGUUGGUAACACAGUGUCAGUAAACAGACACAACCGCAGGACACACCAAAACGAUAGAAGAACGAAAGCAUGCUUGUAAACUCUGUUGUCCGCUACACGGCAAACAAGAAGAUGGCAAAUACCACAGUCAGAGACUGACGACCAUGUGGGAUUACUAAAAUAUUGACUCCCGUUGCACAAAAUCCUUGAAACUGUGACAAACACGUUAAGGAGAACACACAACACAUCAAUCUACUUCUGUAAACACACGGAAAUGUGCACAACGUUGUGGUUUUGCGCAUGCAAAAACCACAACAAUAAUAAAUUGUUAAUCAUAACAAUAAUAAAUUGUUGAAUAAAAUAAAUUCAAGACACCUACAACACCGUUUCUGUGUGGAUGAAAGGCCGAAACCGUAAAAUACUUGGCAUUUCCACCAGAAAACAUUCCUGUGUGGACAGUCUUACCCUUACCGACCAUUACUGGGGGCAAUGUUUACACCACGGGUGUUCAAAGUGUGGCACGCGGCUGUUUUUUUUUUUUUUUUUUUUUUUUUUUGGCCCAAAAUAUAAUUUCAUAAGAAAAUUUUAAGAAAACAACAAAAAUUGAAAAAUCAGCAGUCAUUUUACAAGAACAAUUUUAUUUUUAUUUAUUUUACCUUUAUUUUACCAGGUAAGAUCAAUUGAGAACAGUUUCUCAUUUUCAAUAAAGUGAAAAUAUUAAGAGAACAAAGUAGUAAUCUAAGGAAAAACAUCAACAUUUAUUAUCAAAGUUGAAAUAUGAAAGAAAAAAGCCGUUAUUAAAAAAAGAAUGUUAUGAGAAACAAACAAAGCAACGCGUCUGUGUAGGCUCUCAGUCGUACAGGAGUUGUCCAUCGAGGAAAAGGCUUCUUGAGACGUCAUCUGUACUUCUGUGUAGAAGGUGUCGGACGUUUUGCUCCUCAUCCGAAGAGCUUUGUCAGCAAACUAAUAAGUGCUGGCAGCUUAGGCCUUAAAUACAGUAAGAGUGGGCGGAAUUGGUGUGCCAACACCCUCCUCCUAUUGGUUCGUUACACUAAGCCUGGGCGGAGCAGUGGUAUAAUCCUAUCCUGUUAUUCACACCUACGAUAAAAGGGAAGUGUCGCUCCCUGAAUUGGGUAUGAACGACUCUGAUACUGGCUUGUUAGCAUCUAUUGUUCUGGCUCGGCCCUGCCUUCACCUCAUUUGCAAGACUAAGAGCUGUGGGUUUUGGUCUCAGUAACCUGCUGAACACAGGGUCCAAAUUAAACCUCAAACCACCAUUCCGAUUCAAUGAUGGGUUCUGUUGUUUGACAAAAAUAGCUUCCUUUACUCCUCUUUCAAACCAUCUGUUUUCUUUGGCCAAAAUCUUUACCUCGCUGUCCUGAAAAGAGUGAUUGGUAGCUUUAAGGUGUAGAUGUACUGCUGAUUGAGGACCACUAGCAUUGUCCCUGCGAUGUUGAUAAAGCCUUUUUUGGAGCAUUUGCUUAGUUUCCCCAAUGUAGUGCUCUUUGCAUUCCUCAUCUUUACAGUGGAUGGAAUAGACCAUCAAGACCAACAAGACCAACAAGAAAUUCAGUCUUUCACAGAUCACAUCAAUGCGGUGGACACCAAUAUCAAAUUUACUCGCGAGGACACUAAAGAAAACCAACUAGCCUUCUUAGACUGCAAGGUAAUUAUAGGAAAGGACAGACAGCUACUUACAGAGGUCUUUAGAAAGGCCACACACACUGACCAAUACCUGCUUUUUGAAUCAAACCAUCCACUACAACAUAAACUAGGGGUUAUUAGGACCCUCCAACAUAGAGCGGAACAAAUACCAACUAGUGCUGAGGGAAAGAAAAAGGAGACACAACAUGUCCAGAGAGCGCUCUCAACCUGUGGGUACCCACGGUGGGCUUUCAACAAAUGUCAAAAGAAGAGAGUAGGGAAUGAAACCCAAAAGCCCACAGAAGCAAAAAGGAGAGGAGUGGUAGUCCCUUAUGUAGCGGGGGUCUCCGAAAAAAAAAAACUCCAGAGGAUCUUAUGGCAACACAAAAUUCCUACCUAUUUCAAACCAGUAAAUACCCUGAGACAAAAAUUAGUGCAUCCUAAAGACAAGGCUCCAAACCAGAAACAGAGCAAUGUGGUCUAUUCCAUCCACUGUAAAGAUGAGGAAUGCAAAGAGCACUACAUUGGGGAAACUAAGCAAAUGCUCCAAAAAAGGCUUUAUCAACAUCGCAGGGACAAUGCUAGUGGUCCUCAAUCAGCAGUACAUCUACACCUUAAAGCUACCAAUCACUCUUUUCAGGACAGCGAGGUAAAGAUUUUGGCCAAAGAAAACAGAUGGUUUGAAAGAGGAGUAAAGGAAGCUAUUUUUGUCAAACAACAGAACCCAUCAUUGAAUCGGAAUGGUGGUUUGAGGUUUAAUUUGGACCCUGUGUUCAGCAGGUUACUGAGACCAAAACCCACAGCUCUUAGUCUUGCAAAUGAGGUGAAGGCAGGGCCGAGCCAGAACAAUAGAUGCUAACAAGCCAGUAUCAGAGUCGUUCAUACCCAAUUCAGGGAGCGACACUUCCCUUUUAUCGUAGGUGUGAAUAACAGGAUAGGAUUAUACCACUGCUCCGCCCAGGCUUAGUGUAACGAACCAAUAGGAGGAGGGUGUUGGCACACCAAUUCCGCCCACUCUUACUGUAUUUAAGGCCUAAGCUACCAGCACUUAUUAGUUCGCUGAUGAAGCUCUUCGGAUGAGGAGCGAAACGUCCGACACCUUCUACACAGAAGUACAGAUGACGUCUCAAGAAGCCUUUUCCUCAAACAAAGCAACGAAUAAAGUUGUCAUUUCUGGAAAAUUAGGUUGGGGAAAAAGUUACAUCACAAAAGUUAAGUCAAAAUAUUAUGGCAAUAAAGCCAUAACAUUACCAGAUGAAAAUUUACAAGAAGAAAGUUGAAAUAGUUGGUAAUUAAAUUCAUUAUAUUAAUAAUUAUUCUUUAAAAAAAGAGAGAAACAGAAAUGAAGAAAAUUGCUGUAAUCGUACAAAAGUAAAAUCAAAUAUGAAGAGAAAAAAGUUGUAUUCUCACGAGUAAAAAGCAAAAUAAAGAUUUUUUGAAAAUUAGGUUGGGGAAAAAAGUUAUAUUAUGGGAAUAAAGUCAUAUUAUGAGAAAAAAUGUACUUAAUUAUUUUAAAACAAAGUUGAAAUAUCUGGAAAUUUUAAAAAAAACAGCAUAAAUGGGGAAAAAAAGAGCAAAGAGUGAAGUUGACACUAAUAAUACUCUUUUUUGUUUGUUUCUUUGUUUUCACCUAUAUCACAAAGCUGAAAUGCAGUUUUUCUUCAAAUAUGUACAACUUCCUAGCAUAUAAUUACAAAAUAGAAUGUGGCCCUUGCUGGAAAGAAUUUGGGCACCCCUCCUGUAUUCUGUUAUGUGUAAGCAGCGAGCUAUUUUAAGUACUACAUGACAAAAAGACAAAAGUUAACUGUUGUUGGAUGUGGCAUGUUCCCAUUUGAAACGCUUGGAAAUGCGCCCCCUAGUGGUCAGCAGACUGUAAUUAGGAGAAAACUCUAACCGUAGUCUCUUUAAAUGUUAUGUACUUGUGUUUUAAAUUGACGGGCAUCAACACACUAGAAGACAUUACUGUAUGUUUGAAUGUUCAUCUGAAAUAAUGAAACAAGGGUCUUGUUUGGCCUGGCACAUAAUUAUGUUGGAAUAAUUAGCUUUAGAAAUGAUUAAAUGCACACUUGGGUAAGCACCUCAAAUGUUUAAUGCAAUCUACUGAUUGAUCUCUCUGAUUUCAUUGAUAGAUACUUUUAUCAAUGUUUAUGAUAGGUCAAUAAAUGAUUCAUGGUUCCUAUUGUGAAGCACGAUGGAGUCUUUUUUUCACAUGCUGUCUAAGGGGGUUUAUUUCUGCUAAUGUUGUGUUUGUUAUAUUUAGCAGUAUCAAAAUGUCUCAUGAUAAGUCAGUGGUGCAUGUUGAUAUUUUCUUAAGGUUGUUUAUUUGAUGAAGCUUUUUCUACUUUGUGCUCAUCCUGUGCUAUUAGGAUGCAAAAGUAAGUGCUGCUUAAAUGCUGUCCACAAUAAACGUAAUCAUAAUAAUGGGCCAAAUAACAGCAUAUACAACUGGACUGACUAUCAUUUCAGAGCUAUUUUGUUUACAAAUAUUUUUGUUUAGUUUUUUAAUUUAAAAACAGUAUUUUUAUUAAAAUAUUAGCCCAAAUGUAAUUAUUUGUUACAGGAAAUAGUUCAAUUGUUGUUUUUGGGGGGAAUUUUGCCCAUCAGCCACAAUCCUUAUGUGAGACAUGAAUACACAUCUUUCUCUGUUCUGUGUGUUCUAAAGAUACAAAAACAGAUAAAAAAAGAGGCACCUGUUCCGUCUCUAAAGCCUUCUGAAAAAACCUCCAAAAAAGGCCAACAACGCCCCAUUUACAUAAUGUGAGCUACAUUUUCAAGCUACAGCAACAUUGUUAUUAUUAUCAUUAUUAACGUUGUUACGCUGAAGAACUACGUUACCUGCGUAGUGACACCUCACCACACCACACUGGCUAGCUCUAGCUUCACCACACACUCUCCUGCAGCGCGUCAGCGCCACGCUCACAAUGCCUCAGGCCACUACCACAACAUCCAUUUUGGAGCUGCUGCCACAGCUGCUGUGUUUUUGUGUUUGAGUUUGGAAAAGUUAACGCUAGGUGUAGCGUUGCUUUCUAUGUUGCUAUGCGAAAUCAAUACGCCCAGGAAGGAAGUUCUGCUAAUGCUCAAAAUGACCAAAAUGUGUCGCAUUACGUGCAUUAAUGAGCUCUUUUUAGCCGUUUUAGAACACACAGAAAAGAGAAAGACGUGUCUUCAUGUCUCACAUAAGGAUUGUGGAUCUUCUUCUUCUUCUUUUCCUUUCGGCUUUUCUCUUCAGGGGUCGCCACAGCGAAUCAAUUGCCUCCAUCUAACCCUGUCUUCUGCAUCCUCUUCCCUCACACCAACUACCUUCAUGUCCUCUUUCACUACAUCCAUAAACCUCCUCUUUGGUCUUCCUCUAGGCCUCCUGCCUGGCAGUUCCAAAAAUUUGAAAUAUUUUAUCAAUCUUCAUCAUCAUGACACAGGCCUCCAGGCCUGACCCCAGAGGGGGGGCCCGGUGAAGCGCAUCCGGGAUAGGGAAAUCUUGGUCCACGUCUGUCUCUCAUCAUAGGGGUCUAUUUUAGAGACAUCUCCAAUAUGUAUUAAAAACAAGUUUGAUAUGUGUUUUAUUAGAAAAACUUUAUUAAGCAUUGAAACAUAUAAUAUACAGUAGUUGUAUUUAACCACAAAAAAAGUUUUUUAUUAUUGCGUUAGACACAAAAUAUUACAGAUGCAUCUCUGAUGUGUAUUCAAAAUAAGUUCAAUGUAUAUUUUAUUCUAAAAUAUUGUUUUAAUAUGACAUUGAACCAAAAGGUUAUUAUAGAUACAGUAAUUGAUGAGCUCCUGCUUUAGUGAUUGGCUGGAAAGAAAACCUGCAGUGUCUCCGCCCUCCAUGGCACGAGUUUGACACCCCUGCUCUAACAUGUCAGAGAUGUACUUUGGCGCAAGACAGUGAAAAGACUUGUUCACAAGCCGGGUUGUUUUAACGUCUAUUCUCCGAGCGACAGGAAGCCACUGCAGAGACCUGAGUACUUGACUAAUGUGGUCAUAUUUCCUGGUUCUAGUCAGGACUCGAGCAGCAGCAUUCUGGAUGUACUGCAGCUGUUUUACAGCUCGUUUAGAGAACCCGGUGAGAAGGCCGUUACGGUAGUCUAGCCUGCUGGAGACAAAGACAUGGAUUAGUCUCUCUAAAUCUGGCUUAGACACUAUUUCCUUGAUUUUGGCAGUGUUUUCUGGGUGGUAAAAUGCUAAUGAUGUUAUUUAUUUAAUAUGGCUGUUAAGGUUCAGGUCUGAGUCCAUUAUUACACCUAGACUUCCAACCUGAUGAUUAGGUUUUAGAGAAAGAGUCUCAAGGUGGCUAAUAACACUUUGUCGUUGUUUCUGUAGGCCACAUGUGUCAAACUCAAGGCCCGCAGGCCAAAUGUGGCCCGCCACGUCAUUUUAUGUGGCCCGCGAGAGCAAUUAAAUAGGUCAAAAGCGUGCUUUGAUUAAAAAAAAAACUACACUUCCCACAAUGCCUGUCGACUACAAUACGAUGUGACGGCUCACCGCCACUAAACGGCAGUGUCUCCACAUCAAUGCCAACGAGUUGACUUGACAACUAAAUAAUGAUACCAAAAUGUCCAGGGAGAGAAAAGUUGAUGGGGAUGGAAGACCGUUUCAAGAAAGAUGGGAAGGCGGGUACUUGUUUGUGCUUCAAGGAGAAAGACCGGAUGGAGAGACACCGCGAAGUGUACUGGAGGAAAUCGGAUUGGCAUAAUACAUCCUCCAUAGGCCACGCCCCCUUCUAUCCUGCUGCAUUAGCCAAUUUUAACAGCACACAUGCUCGCAAUCCCUCUUUUUUUAUUUUAAUGUAUCACUCUUUGUUUUUAGUGUGACUGUUCACUAGCACAUGUUCUCGUUGACAAAAGCUGAUGCUGAUCCGCUGUACUGGCGUCUGUAUGUUUUGUAUGUAUAUUGUAUAGGCUUUAUAUUUAGUGUUUAAAAAGGGAAGUCAAAGUAUUACAUCCACAGAGCCAAAGAGUUAUCGGAAAAUAACAUUUUUAUACUCUUGUUGGCUGUCUGCUGUAUUCAGACACUGGAAGGCGGCCUGAGCUUGAAAAAAAUAAAGUUGCACUGGAAGACUUAU